GUUAGGGUUUGUGUGUGGUAGGGUGGGGAAUUCCCGAGGGGUGUCGACGGCUGGAUGGAAACCCCCGCGCGGGCUGCCCUUGCGGCGCUUCUUCAGCUAUACAACCAAGAUACCUGAUUGACUUGUGCAAGAUCAGACUUCCACCAGGCUUGCUCCUGCCCUAGGACCAUUGCGUUCGCUGGUUCCUCUGCCUGGAAUGCCCGUGCUCAGAUCUCCACAUGGGUAACUGUGAUCAACCGUCUUAAUGCCAAGUUCACCAUCUCAGGAGGACUUUCUGGCCCACGAUAUCUAAGACAUUUCUCAAGCACCUUCUGUGUGCUGAUGGAGUCUGAGACAGACAAGAUUUCUGCCUUCACGGAACUUAAAUUGCACACUCUGACAUCCGAGCUUCGUUCUUCCCUCUGGCUGGAGCACAUUUACCCCAGAGAGCUGUGUGGGCCACUCCUCCAACUCCUCCAGGUCUUUGCUCACAGGUCACCUUCCUGACACAUUCCUGAAGGCACCAGUCGUGGAUGAAGAACACUGGGGGGUCAGAGUUGUAUCCCACUGGGCUGUUUGGGACUUGUUGGGGAAGCAGCAGAGACUCAUGACUCACGGCUCUCCACGCCAGGCCGCGGGAUUUGCCCAACUUCACCACAGAA